rnacentral:rRNA from 1 species
GACGAACGCUGGCGGCGUGCUUAACACAUGCAAGUCGAACGCUGAAGCUCAGCUUUUGUUGGGUGGAUGAGUGGCGAACGGGUGAGUAACACGUGAGUAACCUGCCCCCUUCUUUGGGAUAACGCCCGGAAACGGGUGCUAAUACUGGAUAUUCACUGGUCUUCGCAUGGGGGUUGGUGGAAAGGGUUUUUCUGGUGGGGGAUGGGCUCGCGGCCUAUCAGCUUGUUGGUGGGGUGAUGGCCUACCAAGGCUUUGACGGGUAGCCGGCCUGAGAGGGUGACCGGUCACAUUGGGACUGAGAUACGGCCCAGACUCCUACGGGAGGCAGCAGUGGGGAAUAUUGCACAAUGGGCGCAAGCCUGAUGCAGCGACGCCGCGUGAGGGAUGGAGGCCUCCGGGUUGUGAACCUCUUUCGCUCAUGGUCAAGCCGCAACAAUGGUUGUGGUGAGGGUAGUGGGUAAAGAAGCGACGGCUAACUACGUG